AACCUCCGCAAUGUGAGAAAUCGCGACGGGGGGAUCCCAAGUGCCAUUCUUAACGGGAUGGCUUUUCAUUAGUGUAAAGAGCUUUUGGAAUAAGAGCUGGGCAAGACCGGUGCCAGCCGCCGCGGUAACACCGGCAGCUCUAGUGGUAGCAAUUUUUAUUGGGCCUAAAGCGUCCGUAGCCGGUUUAAUAAGUCUCUGGUGAAAUCCUGUAGCUUAACUGUGGGAAUUGCUGGAGAUACUAUUAGACUUGAGACCGGGAGAGGUUAGAGGUACUCCCAGGGUAGAGGUGAAAUUCUGUAAUCCUGGGAGGACCGCCUGUUGCGAAGGCGUCUAACUGGAACGGUUCUGACGGUGAGGGACGAAAGUUAGGGCGCGAACCGGAUUAGAUACCCGGGUAGUCCUAACUGUAAACGAUGCGGACUUGGUGUUGGGUGGCUUGAGCUGCUCCAGUGCCGAAGGGAAGCUGUUAAGUCCGCCGCCUGGGAAGUACGGUCGCAAGACUGAAACUUAAAGGAAUU
rnacentral:rRNA from 1 species